GACGGACUAUAACUGACAUACCUAAGUCUUAUCUGCUACUUACUAUCUCUAGCUAUGUUUCCUAAUUCAUUUUUAAUUUUCCUAAAGCCUUAUCCACAGACUUUGAUAUUAUUCUCUCAAUCAUUGUUCCAUUUUUAAUGAUUGAGGAUUCUUUCCUACUGUAUGAAUUUAUCUUAUGGUUCUAACUAGAUUCUCUUGUAACUUUUCUUGCUAAUUGAAUUCAAAUCUAUCUCUAUUGUGUUCCUAUUAAUAUCUUCCUUCAUUUUUAAACUUCUUAUCAUGAUCUAUUCUUCCCUUACUAUAUGAAGGUGCAUUGGAAAGCACAUCUCCUAUGAUCUCUUCUGUUUUAUAUUAUCUAAUUUAUUACUCAAAUUCUAGUCUAAUCAUCAUCUGUCUAAUUUGUGAAAUGGAGAUCCCUGCUGUCAUCAUCAACACUGCCGUAAGUAAAUAUACUAAUAACUGAAUUUAAUCCUUUGGUGUAUUUCAGAUCAUCUGCUAUGGAAUUUUCCGAUGUCCGGCACGUUGUGGUUUUUUCCAUUGCUGCUCAGGUGCGUAUCUAUUCAAUACUUUAUGCCUUGUCGCUGUGUCUCUCCUCUUUCAGGCGCUGCAUCAUCCUUCUGAAGUCGUGGAGUCCUCCUGCUUGUCCUUACGCCAGGAAAAUUCCCUCGACAUCGGACCGGAUCAAUUCAUGCGUGAUCAUCUUGUCCCAUAUCCAGCGAAAUUCUAAUUAAAAUAUGUGAAAUGUAAAGUCUAAUCAUCAUCUGUCUAAUUUGUGAAAUGGAGAUCCCUGCUGUCAUCAUCAACACUGCCGUAAGUAAAUAUACUAAUAACUGAAUUUAAUCCUUUGGUGUAUUUCAGAUCAUCUGCUAUGGAAUUUUCCGAUGUCCGGCACGUUGUGGUUUUUUCCAUUGCUGCUCAGGUGCGUAUCUAUUCAAUACUUUAUGCCUUGUCGCUGUGUCUCUCCUCUUUCAGGCGCUGCAUCAUCCUUCUGAAGUCGUGGAGUCCUCCUGCUUGUCCUUACGCCAGGU